GGCUGCGAGGGCGCCGGGCGCUGGUGGGCGGCGGGGAGGCCAAGUGGGACGUGGCUUUCGCUCUUUAAGGGGAGAAGUUGGGGGAAAGUUUUGUUUAAGAGGAGACAAAACUCCGAGCCCGCCGCUCGCCGAGCUCGGCCCCGCACCUGGCGCUCGCGGCCGGCCGGCCGGCGUCCUGGCUUCGGUGAGCGGCCCGCGGGGUCGGCCGGGCGGCGGCGGCGCGAUGUGGCCCGAGGGCGCGGACGAGCGGCGGGCGCCCGAGCAGCCCCGCGACCGCCCCCGGAGCCCCGCGCGCGCCGCCCUCGAGCGCGAGCACGUGCGCGCGCACCUGCGGGCCCGCCUGAAGCUGCUGGAGGUGGGGAUCCUGCUGGACCGGCUGCAGCGCGAGGUGGACUCGGUGGAGGGCGCCGUGGGCCAGGGCCGCUGCGGGAGCGGCGAGGCGGAGGAGCGGGUGCUGAAGCUGUACGAGAAGGCGGAGAGGAAGGCCGCCGAGGUGGCGCGGAUGGGGCGGAGGAUCGUGGAGCUCCACGGCCAGAUCGACAGCUGCGGCUUCUCCUGAAGGACGCGGGCGCGGUGUGGAGCGUUUCGCUUGACCCUUUUCUGCGAGAAGCGGCAUUCUGCAUGCGCAAUUUCACGGUUUAUCCCAGGACAGUGGACUCUUACAGGUGUCAGAGAGAAAGCCGGACGCUAGUCGAAGCGGUUCACCGUCAGACUCUGGGUGACCGGUCCGCUGACGCCCUGGAAAAGCUGAAACCCGAGAACCUGUUGUUCUCACUUCUGUUUUUCUGUAGACGUCGUUUCUACGUAUACUGUUAAAUCCGCAUGUUAGUCUGUGUGGUGACCACUGUGUGGUGAUAGGUUGCCAAAUGUAUUUAGUUCUGCGAAGAACUUUUACUGGGGAAAGGUUCUGAAAGCAGUUUGAGUCUAGAUUGUAAACUGAUGAGGUGGUCAUGUUUUUAUGCUUGGAAUUUCUCGAUGUUUUACAUUUUUCUGUUUCUGGGCAUUGGACUAUCUCUCAUGUGACCUAAUCACUGCUGGAAAGUCUGGGCCGAGGAAGACACCGUGUCAGUUGUCAAAGAGCGGAGUUGCUGAAGGAGUUGCGCCUGCUUCGCUGGAAAGUGCCACCAGAAGAGGGAUGGGAAGUGGUGGUGACAAGUUCAGAACUUGUCAUUUCUCUGUGACACCAACAAGGCUUCCCUCUGAAAUUAAGUCGCAGUAUUUGGCGCAUGUAACGUGAACUCUUGGGAGAGCUUGGACAACCCGGCAGAGUCUGAUUUGUGGUUGUGUUCUUACAUUUUGUUUGUGGUCUGGCUUAAGGUUCAGCCUCACGGACAGCUCUCGGUAGUGCAUUUCCGGCUCUCUGAGGCCUGGAAAGAGGGAUGUGCCUUAAUGGUCCCAGAAAGGAGCUGUGGCCUUAAACUGAACAGGGCCAGCACCAUUUCAUGGGCUGUUAAUUGUCUGGUUACGCUCAUUUGAAUAGCACACACACCCCCA